UUCCGGUUGAUCCUGCCCGGAGGUUACUGCUAUCGAGGUUCGACUAAGCCAUGCGAGUCGAAUGUAGCAAUACAUGGCGAACUGCUCAGUAACACGUGGACAACCUGCCCUUAGGACGGGGAUAAACCCGGGAAACUGGGUAUAAUACCCGAUAGGUCUCGAUUGCUGGAAUGCAUCGAGAUUUAAAGCUCCGGCGCCUAAGGAUGGGUCUGCGGCCUAUCAGGUAGUAGUGGGUGUAGCGUACCUACUAGCCUACGACGGGUACGGGUUGUGAGAGCAAGAGCCCGGAGAUGGAUUCUGAGACACGAAUCCAGGCCCUACGGGGUGCAGCAGGCGCGAAAACUUUACAAUGCUGGCAACAGCGAUAAGGGAACCUCGAGUGCCAGGUUACAAAUCUGGCUGUCGAGAUGCCUAAAAAGCAUUUCAUAGCAAGGGCCGGGCAAGACCGGUGCCAGCCGCCGCGGCAACACCGGCGGCUCGAGUGGUAACCGUUAUUAUUGGAUCUAAAGGGUCUGUAGCCGGCCGGAUAAGUCUCUUGAGAAAUCUGGCAGCUUAACUGUCAGGCUUUCAGGAGAUACUGUCUGGCUCGGGGCCGGGAGAGGUGAGAGGUACUUCAGGGGUAGGGGUGAAAUCUUGUAAUCCUUGAAGGACCACCAGUGGCGAAGGCGUCUCACCAGAACGGACCUGACGGCAAGGGACGAAAGCUAGGGGCACGAACCGGAUUAGAUACCGGGGUAGUCCUAGCCGUAAACGAUACUCGCUAGGUGUCGGCCACGGUGCGACCGUUGUCGGUGCCGUAGGGAAGCCGUGAAAGCGAGCCACCUGGGAAGUACGGCCGCAAGGCUGAAACUUAAAGGAAUUGGCGGGGGGAGCACCACAACGGGGUGGAGCUUGCGGUUUUAAUUGGAUUUCAACGCCGG
rnacentral:rRNA from 1 species